UGUACACCCAAAUCCUCCCCACAGCACCGUCCCGGGGUCCGUCGCCGCCGAAACCCCUCCCCUCUUCUUCCUCCUCCUCCACCACCAUCACCACCACCUACACCAAAGUGCGCCUGCCUUCUCGAAACGUAGCAACUAGUUUGUCUCGCGAUCUCCCUCCCCGACCCCUUGUCCUGCUGCUGGGCUGGUGUGGCCGGGAGGCGAUUCUCUCUGCCGGCAUCAGAACCCUUACUGGAUAGAAGUUAGUGAGGCCGGACAAUGGGUUUCGAUAAUGAAUGUAUUCUGAAUAUACAAACUCUUCCUGGUGAAUAUUUUUGCCCUGUUUGUCGGACACUCAUAUACCCCAACGAAGCUCUGCAAGCUCAGUGCACACAUCUCUACUGCAAACCUUGCUUGGCUUAUGUAGCAGCAACCACACAAGCCUGCCCUUAUGAUGGUUACUUAGUGACGGAAGCUGAUUCCAAGCCUCUGGUGGAUUCAAAUAAAUCACUUGCUGAGACAAUUGGUAAAGUUACAGUACAAUGCCUGUACAACAAGAGUGGUUGCCAAUGGCAAGGAAACCUGUCUGAAUGCAACACACAUGGUACCGCUUGCGCCUAUGGGAACUCGCCUGUUGUUUGUAACCGUUGUGGUACUCAGAUUGUACAUCGUCAAGUGCAAGAACAUGCCCAGCUUUGUCCUGGCGUGCAAUCCCAAACACAACAGGCUGACGGUAGUCUGACACAGUCAUCAGCUGCAACGACCCAGGCAGUCACCCAAGAUCCGUCUGCAGUUUCCUCUGUGGCACCUGCAGCAGCUCCUACAGCUGGAGCUGUUACAGCUUCUGCAUUGCCAACUGGUUCAGCUGGUGUGACCACACCAAGCACAGUUGCCGUGGCCCCUUUUGCAGGGGCACCUACUUCUGCUACUCAAGGUCAAGCAGUUGCACCACAAAUUCAAACAGCCGAGCAGUACCAGCAGCAGCUCCAGUACCACCAGUACUACCAGCAGCAUUUCCCUGGCUACAAUCCAUACACCCAGCAGUAUCAACAGUAUGGCCAAUACCAACAGUACACACAACCUCAAACGCAAGUGGCACCGCAGAAUGUUGCCCAAGUUCCUGCACAACCUGCGCCAUAUGCUCAGCCUCAAUUCAUGCAGCCAUCACAGUCCCAACACAUGGUGCCAAAUCAGUCCCAGAAUCCUCAACUCCAAGCACCAGCUGUUCAGCCGCAGCCUCAGCAGAAUCCACCAUUGCAUUCCGCGCCACAAAUUCCACAGAUGCAACCACAAGGUGAUGUACAACCUAUAGCUCAUACCCAAGUUGGUAAUCAGCCAUUUGCAAUGCCUGCAACUCAAGCAAUAGCCUCCCAGGUGCAGCCAUAUGUGCAACCUCAUCCUCCACAUCAUCAGCAGGCUGUUGCCCAGCAACAACAACCGCAAAUGCAGUACCCACCUCAGCAGCAACAUCUUCAACCUCAGAUGCAGCACCAGCAUCCACAAGUGCAGCAGCAAUCGUACCCACAACCUAAUGUCUAUCAUCAGCCUCAUCCAGUUUCACAAUCUCAGAACCCUUCAGUACAUGCGGUAGCAGGUCAUCAAUCAUAUUCGCAGCCUCAGCCAGCACAUCAGAUGCCACAUGGUGCCGCAGUCCAGCACCCUGUACAUGCAUCUCACCAACAGUUAGUUGGUCCUCAGCAUCCUGCACUUGUACAUCCUCCUCAGGGUCAAUUUCCGUUGCAAGGCCAACAGCCAACCAUGUUGGCUCCUCAAGGUACUCAGCAUACACCACAACAUCAGCAGCAUGGGCAUCAGGCUCAGCGACCACCAAUGCAUCCCAGCAUCCCUCCGCAGGCACCACCACAAGGAUUUCCUCUUAACACACCCGUUCCUUCACAAACAGGUCAAUCAUACCAACAAGGAAUGCACUCAUCACAACAACAGAUGCAUCCUCAACCUUUCCAGCCCCACGGUCCACAAUAUAUGCAACAGCAGCAGCAUGUUCCAACCUCGACUAGCAGGUCUAUGAGUUAUGUUGCAACACCACAUCAGUUCCAAGAAUCAGGGAAGUCAGAAAGUGCAGCUAAUGCUACUGGCAAUACUGAAGUAGGUGAUAAUACAAAUGGAGGCGGUGAAUAUUCUGGCAUAAAGCCAGAAUCUCUGGGUGAUAAAAAUGCGAAUGGGGAGCAGAAUGAUUUUAGUAAUAUCAGAAAAAAUGUGGUACAAACUGGCAUUGCAUUGGGCGUUGCAGAUGGUUCAGACAAAGGCAAAGGAAAGGAUGAGUCUGGUGGCCAGGAAAGUAAUUCACAGUCUGAAGCUUCAAAUAUAUCCAAUGAUCUUGAGAAAGGAGGAUCAUUACAGCAGGCAUCACAGAAAAGCCAGGGAGCACUGGGUUCCUAUGUUCCCCCAGGCAUGGGCCGACAGCGUCCGUCUGGACCUGAUACCAUGCUUCCUCAGCAUAUGCUCCAUCCUGGUCCUGUGCCAUGUACUCAAGCCCAGACGAAUCAAAUGAGGCCACCUAGUCAUGGUUUUCCUGAAAAUGUCCGGCCUACAGUGCAGCAACAGCUAUAUGGUGUAUAUCAAUCUGAAAUGGCACCAAGGACGCUUGCACCAAACAUUCCGCGGGCUGUACCCACCAGACCUGAUGAUGGCAUGAUUCGACCGCCCAUGGCUGGACCCUUGCCUGGACAUCAUGACACAACUAUGCCUCCUUUUGCUUCAGAAAAUGUUGGCCGGCCACAUCCUGUUGGAAUGAGAAAUGGUGUUGGCGGGGAGCAACUUGCAAAUUCCAGGGCUUUCCACGAUGAAGGGUUCAAUUCUUCACGGGAACAUUUCAGGUCGUUGGGGCCACCAUAUCCUGGCAGAUACAAUGUCAACCCUAAAGAUAUUGAAGAGAAUAUUAAGCAAUUUCCAGGGCCAACUCAUCUUGAUGACGACAGUUUUCAGAGAGGCCCAAGGCCUUUUGAUGGUUUUGAUUCAUUUUCUGGAAGACCUCCAUUCCAAAACAAGCCAGGCCCAUAUCCUAUAGGCUUCCCUGAAGAUUUAUCAAGGAAGCCCCAUUCAAUUGUUGGUCAUCCUGACUUUGUGUCACCUGGUCCAGAAUUUGGCCAUCACAGGGUUGAUGGAAUGCCUAGAAACCCAGGUUCAUUUGUUCAAGGGAUGACAGCUGGUCCUGGAGGUCUUCAUAAGGACCAACUAGGCCCUGGCAACCUUCCAGGGAGUAGACAGCAUGAUUUUGACAAUCUAGCGUUCCCUCAUACACAUUUCCACCCUGCUGAUAUUUUUCUUCCAAGAAAUCUUCAUGGUUCUGAACCCCUUGGGCAUGGUCAAUUGCAUGGAAUUGAACCUUCUGGCCACCGGUUCCAAGGACACAUACAUCCAGAUGAUACAAAUUUUGAUGACUAUUCUCGACAUGGUUUUCCACAAGAAUCUGGCCGCUUCAGUUCGGGUGGUUUCUUCAGUAGUGGAGAUGUUGGUUGGUGCAGGAUAUGCACGUUUAACUGUGGGAGUGCAGAGGACCUGGGUCUACAUGUGCAUACAAGAGAACAUCAACAGCAUGCAAUGGACAUUGUUCUGAAAAUGAAGCAUGAUGCUGCGAAGCGACAGAAAAUGAAUCCUACAGGCCCCAAGUCAUUAAACAAAAAGGUAGCCAUGAAGGGCAACUUCUAUGGAAAUAGGCGUUAGAGCUCCUGUUACAUAGUUCAGCAUUCGAUGAGAUUUCAAGAAAUUGACAAGUAUAAGAAAUUCCAUGCGAGGGCUCCACGUUCAUAUGAUACUUGCAUGCUUUCCUGAAGGCGGUUGUGACACUGGACUUUUAUUCACAAUUGUCACAAGGCUACAAUAUAUUUUUAAUCUCCUAUGUAACAAAGCAUGAGACCACAUAAAUAUUUGAUGACCAAAUAAUGUUUAGUGAUAGUUUUUCAAAUUAUAUAUAUGGACUAUUUCAAAAUUUAGGGCAACCAACGAGAAUACUUUGUUUUUAGUGUCCAAGUGUUGUGAUCGCUUUGCUAGAUUUACCAUGUCUGUGCUAUUGCUUUUGAAGUAUUGUAGCACCCUACUGGGAGAUCAUAAUGAAUGCGUUGAAAGACUGAAAAACACUUAUGUCUAGUGUUGGUAAAUGUAAUGCUCUCGAGUAUCAUUGUCUCCGGUAAAAAUGAUAUUGUGUCCCCCUGAUUUAUAAUCUGGUGUACUUAGUACAAAUUUGUUUAUGUAGCAUUGCUGUGACUACGAAUUUUCUUUUCCCUUUUUGGUGUCGUUGUUGUAUUGCUAAAAAUUCCGCUAUGAACUCCUUUUGAGUUAUUUGUCAGAUUUUGUGGCUAGCGAUUAAUGUGUUGUGGAGUGUAAGAGCAUCUCCUGGCUUCAGUGACCAGAAAAGAAGUUUUAGAUAUCGGAGAAAAUUAGUGGAAAAUCCCUUAUAUUCUCUCUUCCUUUCUAUCUCUCUCUGUACCGUGCUUUCCCACUUGAAACAAUUUGUAUUUUUAUCACAUAAAAUGAUUCAAACAUUA